rnacentral:ncRNA from 2 species
AUAAUCACAAAGGGGAGCCAAUCUGGCUGAGAAUGAGAUAGAAUCUAGACCCUUCGUACCUGUUUUAGUUAUUUAAGCGUAGGAAUUGUGAGAAUGUGUCAA